rnacentral:lncRNA from 1 species
CUGUCCCAGACCUGCUGUUUUCAACUCUCUAGAGACAGCAGGAGCGGUAGAGAUACUCUCAAUGAUUGGCUAUGAAAAGACAACUGACAUUUACUCUUGAGGUGCUGACUUGUUACACCCUCGACAACUACUGUGAUUAUUAUUAUUUGACCAUGCUGGUAAUUUAUGAACAUUUGAACAUCUUGGCCAUGUUCUGUUAUAAUCUCCACCCGGCACAGCCAGAAGAGGACUGGCCACCCCUCAUAGCCUGGUUCCUCUCUAGGUUUCUUCCUAGGUUUUGGCCUUUCUAGGGAGUUUUUCCAAGCCACCGUGCUUCUACACCUGCAUUGCUUGCUGUUUGGGGUUUUAGGCUGGGUUUCUGUACAGCACUUUUAGAUAUCAGCUGAUGUAAGAAGGGCUAUAUAAAUACAUUUGAUUUGAUUUGAUUUAGUUCUUGGAAUGCCGUACACCUGAUCAAAGAACCAUACAGAGCAGGAUUGGUAGCCUGAUCAAAGAACCAUACGAGCAGGAUUGGUAGCCUGAUCAAAGAACCAUACAGAGCAGGAUUGGUAGUAAGGAAAAUGGCACUGCGUUCCUCUCAUCGCACAAAGCUUUUGAUCAUUAAAUCAUAUGAUUUAUCUACGAGUGCAUCUAUCCCAGAUUAUUCUAUUCAGAUAUAUUAUGAAUAAAAGGGUUCCUCAUUUGUGAAUCACUUUCUAGUUGGUUGGUGACUCCGAUGCGGUGUCUGGGAAUGGCUGUGUGGCUUUCUGUUCGACUGGAGAUAGUUACUGAGGGUUUCAAAAUCAUACAGAUUGUAAUGUCCCAGUUGUCAUUGUCCCCAAUGCAAUGGUUAGCUUGUUUGCACCAACAUGUUUUCCUUCUUCAUUGUCUAUUCUUUUUGAUGUUCCAAUGCCCACAAAAUGUGUACACCUAUAAACAUAGGAAUUCACAGUCCACUUGGUUCUAAUACAGUUUGAAAUAUUGUAACAUUGCAAGAGUUGGAUUUUGAACUGAAGCAGGAAGAAUCACCACGGGGUUGUAUAGUGAAAAAGGAAUAUUCUGAAACAAACUGUUUCUACCUCUAAUGAUGACAACAAAGCCUGAGCUUCAGGACCUGUGUGAUGUUCAGUUAUAGAGAGAGAGAUAAAGAGAGAGAUCUGCUUUGAUGUAGAGACACAUGAAAGAGUCUCUCCCCACCAGGGUGGGUGUCCCUGUGCCAUACCUCAGGACAGCAAUCAGUAGAAAUCUCUCUCUCUCUCUCUCUCUCUCUCUCUCUCUCUCUCUCUCUCUCUCUCUCUCUCUCUCUCUCUCUCUCUCUCUCUCUCUCUCUCUCUCUCUCUCUCUCAUAUAUUUAAGGGCAUACAUUUCCAAAACAAGGGGAAUAGAUAAUAAACAAAAGUGAAAUAAACAACACAAAUGUUUAUAGUAAACAUUACACUCAAAAAUGUUCCAGAAGAAUAAAGACAUUUCAAAUGUAAUACUAUGUGCAAAUAGUUAAAGUACAAAAGGGAAAUAAAUAAACAUAAAUAUG